UCUUGGUUACCUAUUCUUCUUUCUUGGGUGGUGGUGGUAGUGGAGGGGGGGAAAGCUACAUUUCCCAGCCUCCUUUGCAGUUAGGUAUGGCUAUGUGACUGACAUCAGGUCAAUGGACUAAAGCCAGCAUGAUAGAAGAUCUGGCACAAUAUCAUUCUAUGCACCAUUCUCCAGACUCUUUCUGAUGAUCCAAAGGCUUAUGAGAUAGGAGGAGCCUGAGAUCCCAUAUCAUCAUCUAGAGGAGAGUCCUUUGCCAAUCAGAAACCUCAAUUUUGUGUAUGAGACUCAUCUGGGACGGUAUGACUAUGUCUCCACUCUACUCUUUAAGACUACUUAAAAAAAAAAAAGAAUGAACAUGGUAACUGAUGUCCCUACAAGAUCCAGCAACAGCAUCUGAAAAAGGUGACACUCUUCUCCCUUAAACACAUUCUUUCCUUGAUUUCUAGCCCAUGCUCACCAGGUUCUCCUUCAACAUCUCUAGCCACAACUCCUCAGGAUCCUUUGAUGGCUCUUCUUCAUCUCCCCAAUUUAUAAAGAUGGGAGUUCCUAGAA